rnacentral:rRNA from 1 species
UACAGAGGGUGCAAGCGUUGUUCGGAAUUAUUGGGCGUAAAGCGCGUGUAGGCGGCUUGGUAAGUCUGAUGUGAAACCUUGGGGCUCAACCCCCAAGCCUGCAUUGGAAACUGCCUCGCUUGAGUCCGGGAGGGGAGAGCGGAAUUCCUAGUGUAGCGGUGAAAUGCGCAGGAUAUUAGGAAGAACACCGGUGGCGAAGGCGGCUCUCUGGAACGGUAC